CCUGCGGAUGCUUUACCAUGCAAGUCGAACGGCAGCACGGGAGCUUGCUCCUGGUGGCGAGUGGCGAACGGGUGAGUAAUGCGUCGGAACGUACCGAGUAAUGGGGGAUAACGCAGCGAAAGUUGUGCUAAUACCGCAUACGCCCUGAGGGGGAAAGCAGGGGAUCGUAAGACCUUGCGUUAUUCGAGCGGCCGACGUCUGAUUAGCUAGUUGGUGGGGUAAAGGCCUACCAAGGCGACGAUCAGUAGCGGGUCUGAGAGGAUGAUCCGCCACACUGGGACUGAGACACGGCCCAGACUCCUACGGGAGGCAGCAGUGGGGAAUUUUGGACAAUGGGGGGAACCCUGAUCCAGCCAUUCUGCGUGAGUGAAGAAGGCCUUCGGGUUGUAAAGCUCUUUCAGCUGGAACGAAACGGUACGCUCUAACAUAGCGUGCUAAUGACGGUACCAGCAGAAGAAGCACCGGCUAACUACGUGCCAGCCGCCGCGGUAAUACGUAGGGUGCGAGCGUUAAUCGGAAUUACUGGGCGUAAAGCGUGCGCAGGCGGAUUGUUAAGCAAGAUGUGAAAUCCCCGGGCUUAACCUGGGAAUGGCAUUUUGAACUGGCAGUCUAGAGUGUGUCAGAGGGGGGUGGAAUUCCACGUGUAGCAGUGAAAUGCGUAGAUAUGUGGAGGAACACCAAUGGCGAAGGCAGCCCCCUGGGAUAACACUGACGCUCAUGUACGAAAGCGUGGGUAGCAAACAGGAUUAGAUACCCUGGUAGUCCACGCCCUA
rnacentral:rRNA from 1 species